AUUGAACGCUGGCGGCAUGCCUUACACAUGCAAGUCGAACGGUAACAGGUCUUCGGAUGCUGACGAGUGGCGAACGGGUGAGUAAUACAUCGGAACGUGCCUAGUAGUGGGGGAUAACUACUCGAAAGAGUGGCUAAUACCGCAUGAGAUCUACGGAUGAAAGCAGGGGAUCGCAAGACCUUGUGCUACUAGAGCGGCCGAUGGCAGCUUAGGUAGUUGGUGGGAUAAAAGCUUACCAAGCGGACGAUCUGUAGCUGGUCUGAGAGGACGAUCAGCCACACUGGGAGUGAGACGCGGCGCAGACGCCUACGGGAGGCAGCAGUGGGGAAUUUUGGACAAUGGGCGCAAGCCUGAUGCAGCAAUGCCGCGUGCAGGAUGACGGCAUUCGGGUUGUAAACUGCUUUUGUGAGGAACGAAAAGCCCUAGGUUAAUACCCUGGGGUCAUGACGGUACCGUAAGAAUAGGCACCGGCUAACUACGUGCCAGCCGCCGCAGUAA
rnacentral:rRNA from 1 species